UCAAAACUUUCAACAACGGAUCUCUUGGUUCUGGCAUCGAUGAAGAACGCAGCGAAAUGCGAUAAGUAAUGUGAAUUGCAAAAUUCAGUGAAUCAUCGAAUCUUUGAACGCACAUUGCGCCCUCUGGUAUUCCAGAGGGCAUGCCUGUUCGAGCGUCAUU
rnacentral:rRNA from 1 species